CCAUCUUUGUACUGUGCAUCUCUUCCUUCAUCUCCAUGGCCUUAAUUAUCCAGAGGGAAGCUUGGCAUUGAUUUGGCCACCUGUGGUAUAAUCUGCACUUCAUAUCCUUUGCCAGGAAAGAAAGUGGUGUGGUCGUCUCCUCUUCCUGAGAAUGCUCCCUGGCACACACAGCUUGGAAUUUGCUUUGCCGGCCACAUGGUGACAGGUAACAGAAUUCACCUUGCGCUAACUGAUGUAGCUCCUGAAGCAGCGUGGAAUCAAAAGGAAGCUCGACCCUUACUGCUUCAAAACACACUUCCUCCUCAGGACCCCACCACCGCCACCUUCUUCAGAACCUGGGUCAUGAGCCACUAAUCAACGCCAACUGUUUGAAGAUGCAGGACAGAAGAAAUUCUGAAGGCUGCCGCUUCCUUAUACCUCCCUGAGAGCCAUCUUUGUGGAUA